GCGGAAGUGGCUCAGUGGUAGAGCAUCGCCUUGCCAAGGCGAGGGUCGAGAGUUCGAAUCUCUUCUUCCGCUCCA
rnacentral:tRNA from 1 species